rnacentral:misc_RNA from 1 species
GUGAAUCAUCAAAUUUUUGAACGCAAACUGCACUCUCUGGUAUUCCGGAGAGUAAGCCUGGUUGAGGGUCAGGUUAAAUAAAAAUCAGUGUGGUUGCUGCCUUUCGUGGUGACGCACCGGGUUUGGGUCGUCUUGCCCUCGGUUUAGGGACCUAAAAUUUUGCAUGAUGUUUUUUGCACGUGUUUAUAUGACUUUUCCUACGAUUGUGAUA